rnacentral:rRNA from 1 species
GACGAACGCUGGCGGCGUGCUUAACACAUGCAAGUCGAACGGAAAGGCCCUGCUUUUGUGGGGUGCUCGAGUGGCGAACGGGUGAGUAACACGUGAGUAACCUGCCCUUGACUUUGGGAUAACUUCAGGAAACUGGGGCUAAUACCGGAUAGGAGCUCCUGCUGCAUGGUGGGGGUUGGAAAGUUUCGGCGGUUGGGGAUGGACUCGCGGCUUAUCAGCUUGUUGGUGGGGUAGUGGCUUACCAAGGCUUUGACGGGUAGCCGGCCUGAGAGGGUGACCGGCCACAAUGGGCCUGAGAGACGGCGCAGAGGGCUACGGGAGGCAGCAGGGGGGAAUAUUGCACAGUGAUCGCAAGCCUGAUACGGCGGCGCCGCGUGCGGGAUGACGGCCUUCGGGUUGUGAACCGCUUUCGCCUGUGACGAAGCGGGAGUGACGGUAAUGGGUAAAGAAGCACCGGCUAACUACGUG